rnacentral:lncRNA from 1 species
CGUGCGCCACCAUGCCUGGCUAUAUUUGGGAUUUUUUAAAAAGUAUUUUAUGUCACUACAUGAGGGUACAAAAUGUGAAGUAGCAUUUGCUGUAUAAAUUUAAUGAAAGAACUAAAGGGACAGAUUUUAGAGUGACUAGUGAGAUAGUUCAGUGACUGUCAGUGUACAUUUGAGCUAUUGUAGAGGUGUAUUUAAUUAGUAUUCUGUUAAAACAGAAUGCUAAUUGAUACUGGGAUAACCAAGGUGAGAAAAAGAGAGAAAAGGAAUAAAAGUAAGUAAAUAAUACAAGUAGAAAGUUAAUGGAUUUAAAUAUCAGUAAUUAUUAAAUAUAAAUGGUCUGAAAAUUGACAGGCCAGGAUUGCCAAACUGGUAAGUAUACUGUCAGAGCCUCAAAACAGGUUACAAGAGAGGUAGAACUUGGUAUUCUGUAUAAGACAUACUAAAUCUAGGAUGGUUCUAUUAAUACCAAAGGGUCUUUUCCUUUUGGAAAAGAGCUACUGCUGUGAAGCUUCCUUUAUAGUCCAGCACUCUUUGACGAACUAAUCUGUUCUUACAAAUCCUAACAGCAGCGUUACUCCUUCUCCAUGAAUCAGUCAUCUCCUAGUGGGGCCACCUCUUAAAUGUUCUAUCACCAGACUUAACACACGAACCUUUAUAUAAGCUAUAGCAUCUCGCUAAGAAUCCUUAGUGCUUGUCUCCUGAAUUUCUUAGUCAUACAAAUAAAUAUACUUAGAAUAGUUGUUUUAUUCAAUUUAUCAACAGAAUUCAAUGUAAUAUACAUCCUGCUCUAGGAUGUUUGAGUGCCAUGUUAUUAUCUUAUUGACAUCAUUCCUUUUUAAAAUUACAUAGUAUAAGGCACAGAUAUUGUAGAAAGUAAUGUAAAGUUUGGGUGUCAUUCUUCAAAAAGAAAUUAUUCUUGUAGAAGUUCCUUUGACUGGCCCUACCUCACCGUUGCCAUCUCCGGGGAAUGGGAGUGAACCUGCUCCCGGAUCAGUUGCACAGCCAAAGAAAAUCCGAGGAAUUGGAUUUGGAGACAUCUUUAAAGAAGGCUCUGUGAAACUUCGGACAAGAACUUCCAGUAGUGAAACAGAGGAGAAAAAAACAGAAAAGGUAGUGUACUGGCUUGGUUCUCUCUCACUAUAAUAUAUACAGACCAAAAGUAACUUGUGGGGAGGAAAGAGUCUGGCUCAGUCUGUUAUUGAGGGAAGUCAAAGCAAGACUCAAGCUGGAAUGGAGACAGGAACCAUAGAGUAAAGCUGUUUUCUACGUUGCUCAGGUAAGCACAGAUUCCCAUAGGAGCCAGCCAUCAGAAAAUGCUUCACAGAUGUGAUCCACAGGCCGCUCUGAUGUCUUAGUGACUCUAGGUCCUCCUGGGAGCUCUCCCCUCAUCACUAAGCAUUUUUUUAAGAUAUAAAAGUUUGAAAGUUUGUUAAUUUCCUUUUAGGGGUCAUAGGGACUUAUGAAUGAGAAGCUUAUGGGGAAACUUGAACUUUGUAAUGGUUUGUAAUUGUGUCUUGGUGUCAUAAAAUUAGGAUGCUUAUUAACUGGUAAGUCCUAGAUAGACUUUUCUUAGUGGCAGCCAUAAGGCCUUUGUUUAUAUCAGUGUAAAUAUAAAAAGGAAAUAUUUUCUCUUUGUCUUUUAAAGCUAAAAUUUGUUAUUUUUUAAAUUUAAUAGAUACCUAAAAUUGCGUUAUUUUAAAAAGUGAAUAUUAAAAGAAAUAUUAAAUUACCUAAGUGCUACUCCACUUUUCUCUGGAUUAUAUGUGUUUGUUUGAGACAGGGUUUCUGUGUAGCCCUGGGCUGUCUUGGAACUCACUCUGUAGACCAGGGUAGCCUCAAACUCAGACCAGUCUGCCUCUGCCUCCCAAGAACUGAAAUUAAAGGCGUGCGCCGCCACCUGGCUUUCCGGAGUCCCAAUAGUAACUAAAUUUACUAACAUCACUUCUGAGUGAUUGGAUAAUUUUAUUAGCAUUUUACCAGCAUUUUAAAACUGGAGUCAAGUGAACAGUCUCUAGUUUAUAAGAUUUUGUUUCGGGGAGAUGGCUGCAGGCUUGAACACUUCUUUGGAGGUCUCUGUCCCCAGCGUCUGUAUUUUGGAGAUACAAACUAAGCAGUUACUCCAGAGGAAAUUAACUUAAUCCCUGUAAGUCUCAUUUUUAAAAAUAGUUUCAUGUGUGUGCGUGCCUGUGUGUAUAUGUGUGUUACAUGUGCACACAUGAGCCGGAGGAUAUCAGAAGAGGAAGCUGGAUCCUCGGAAACUGGAGGUCUGUGUACAUGAGCUGCUAUGAGGAUGGUGGGACCCAAACCUGGGUUUUUAAAAGCAGUAAGUGCACUUACCUGCCGUGCCAUCUCCUGCAAUUCUCAUUUGUACCUCCCUUGCUCUUAGAAGUGUAAGACAUUUCAUUAUUUACUCAAUUCAGCUACGUUUCAUUUGGCCGGUGAAAUUCCUUGUUUUUCUCUCAAGAUAGUGGUUUUCAAAAGUUUUCUUCUCUACCUGCUUGCUACAUCGUUUUCUAUUUAAUUGUGAGGUGGAUUCAGGAAAGAGCACUUCUGCUUCCUGUCCUUUCUGAUCUUUGAGACUUAAGUGGCAUUAAGAUUUUAGGGCCUAGUCCAGUGUGAUGAUGUAUAUGUUUAAAUCCCAGCACUCAGGAGGCAGAGUCAGGCAAACCUCUGUGAGUUUGAGACUUGUCUGGUCUACAUCACAAUUUCCAGGCCAGUUAGGACUGCAUAGUGAAAUGCUUUCUUU